rnacentral:rRNA from 1 species
UACGGAGGGUGCAAGCGUUAUCCGGAUUCACUGGGUUUAAAGGGUGCGUAGGAGGGUAGGUAAGUCAGUGGUGAAAUCUCCGGGCUCAACUCGGAAACUGCCGUUGAUACUAUCUGUCUUGAAUACCGUGGAGGUGAGCGGAAUAUGUCAUGUAGCGGUGAAAUGCUUAGAUAUGACAUAGAACACCGAUUGCGAAGGCAGCUCACUACACGAAUAUUGACUCUGAGGCACGAAAGCGUGGGGAUCAAACA